CUGGAACCUUAAUACUGAAUAAUCUGAAUUAAAACUAGCAGUCUGACAAUCCUCUACUACUCCUAAAUAGAGAGCCACUGGGAUACACCCCCAGUUGACUCGAACUGUCUAAAAAGAAUACUGAAUCAUCUAAGCUGAAAAUCUGAAUAACUAAGUCCCUGAACUAUGAUGACUCACCAACUGUCGGGCUGUAGAUGGAGAUGCUCGAAAUUACUCAUGUUGUUGGAACUGAGCACCUGCACCUACAUUAUGAGAUAAUGUAACACAUAGACGUAUAUGUGGAUCAGUACUUUUAGGAUGUACUGAGUAUAUGACUGCAAGCAUAAUUGAUAAUGCCUAGUGGUAAAAAAAUGACACCUUAGUUUAAUGGAUGGGAAUGUGUAAAUGAUUUUAAUUGAGCUUAAUGGGGUUGUGUAGCUCACGCUGAAGGUCUAAGUCUCAGGGAAGACGAAUACCGAAAAUUACAUUUACUGACGUGGGGGUCUUUAUGGUCGUGUGCAUAGUUCACACUUGAUAUGUUUAUAUCUUAGAUUGGUAUGGGGUCAUGGAUUCCCUGACCUUCUUUGGAUUUCCUGGUUCUUGCGGCUACACGCAUUAGUGCCCUUCCGAUGGGAGGAGCCGGACCUGUUAUCCUGUGGGUGUCUUUAGUUUGGUUGGAGAUACACACUCCACGAUAAUGUGUUAAAUCUCAUGCUAAGCCCUAUUCCCUAUCCCAACAUUUUAUAUAUCUGUAUAUAUGCAUGUAUGUGAACAUGUACAUUGAGUAUGGACUUGAUUUUUAAAUAACAUUACUUUAUUCCUAUCCCGAGUUACAUGCUAGAGAUCUCCUCGCUAACCAUCCUAAGAUGCUAUAUUGUUUUAUAAUGUAUGGUCCGAGGAUACCUCUUUUGCCCAUGUGCAGCGUUAGGUGACCGGGUUCGUCAGUUGGUUCGCGGUGAAGUGGUGAAUUUCCAUCCUCCGAAAAACUUAGCCAUUCCAUCGAUUUAUUUCCAUAUUAUAGAAUUAAAGAGUUCACAUUAACAUUAUCAUUAUAAUUGUCACUAUCAUGGUCAGGGGCAUGUCCCGAUCUAGUUUGAUAUUCGGAUUGUUUUAGAGACUUUUGUGAAAAACUAUGGAUUGGGAUAUUUGUUUGGAAUCGUAGAAUCUUUGUCUUGGUGUAUUUAUCUUUUAUAUGUUUGUUUGGAUUGCUUUCACUAUUAUACUAUAUUGUGUUCAGAUUGGCUAGGCUCAGUGGGUGGCUUUCUGUCCUCGGUGGACUUGAGAUACCCGUCACGACUAGGCCCUGAUUUGGGUCGUGACAGUAAGGGUUGUUAAAACUCAAUUGAUUUUUCAUAGAGUUCAAAUGCUUUACAGACAUCACAAAUUAUUUUUAAUUGCCUUGAUAGAUCCUUUCGAAGACAUAAGGAAAAUUCAAGAUACAAAAGAAGGUUGGGGAUGCAGUAUGUGAAUUAUAAUCAAAAUGGUCAGAUAUAGUUUUUUGUGCAAGAGCAUAUUCAAGUGGGAGUGAUUAUCGAUUUUGAGCAACAACUUUCAUUACACCUCACAGUGGAAUAUGAUAAGUAGACGAUGACUACAGUGGUAUAUUAUACGUUAGAGAGUUUAGUCUGUGCGAUGAUUUGUAUGCCAUUGGGUACAAUCUUUCCUUUCCUUGGUUAUAGGGGCAGAGUUGAAUGUCAUUUUAUAUGAUGAAGAAAAAUUGGUGGGCUACCUGUAUAUCCUUUCACAUUUGAGGACUUCAGCUUCUGUAUAAAUUAUUGUGAGUUAUUUGAGAUUACCGUCACUGGGAACCCUUUCACCUGGUUGAAUGGUAGAGCUGAUGAAGAAUAUAUUUUCAAAACUCUAGAUAGAAUCAUGAUUUAGGCUGUAUAGGACAUAUUUGGGAAUAUAAAAUGUAAUAUUUGGCUAUAACUGAGUCUGAUCAUGCCCCUUUAAUGCUCAAGGAGAAAUUCAGUAAUUCUCAAAACCUCUUAGGUUUUUUAAGUUCUGAAUAGAAAAAGAUGACUUAAAGGAGGGCCUAUUUGAUGAACAACCAAAUGCAACGAAUAUGGCUAUUUUAUAACAUAUACAAAUUGAACUAAAGUAGUAUCUCCACUGUAAGGAGGAAUUUUUCAUACAAAUGGAUAGAAUCCAGUGGUUCACUAAAAGGGGAUAAAAAUAUAAAUUUUUUCCAUUGUCUGGUGAAAGAAGAAGAAAUAAAUUACAAUUGAAGAGAAGUUUAAAGCAUGAUGGUACUUAGGCUGAAGAAGAUGAGCAGAUUGCUAAUGAAGCAAUGAAUUUUUUCCAAAACCGAUUCUCAGGAGAGCUCUUUACUUACGAACAUUGUUAUAACAUAUCCCAUCAUUAAUUAUUAAAAAAGGUAACAUUAUGCUCAUGUAACGCCCCAAAAAUGGGUCCCGAGAUGUCACACCGUGCUCAAGACUACGAGUAGCCUUAAGCUAACCUUGUUAGCCUUCUACCAAGUUUGAAUCUCAUAAUAAGGUAGUAUAGAUAUCAAAAUCAUACUGAAAGCGGAAACUAUCUGAAUUUAAUAUCCGAAAAUAAUGUCUGGAACCUUAAUACUGAAUAAUCUGAAUAAAAACUAGUAGUCUGACAAUCCUCUACUACUAAUAAAUAGAGAGCCAUUGGGAUACACCCCCAGCUGACUCGAACUGUCUAAAAAGAAUGCUGAAUCAUCUAAGCUGAAAAUCUGAAUAACUAAGUCCCCGAACUAUGAUGACUCACCAACUAUCAGACUGUAGAUACUCGAAAUUACUCAUGCUGUUGGAACUGAGCACCUGAACCUACAUUAUGAGACAAUGUAACACAGACGUAUAUGUGGAUUAGUACUUUUAGGAUGUACUGAGUAUAUGGUUGCAAGCAUAAUUGAUAAUGCCUAGUGGUAAAAAAAUGACACCUUAGUUUAAUGGAUGGGAAUGUGUAAAUGGUUUUAAUUGGGCUUAAUGGGGUUGUGUAGCUCAAGCUGAAGGUCUUAGUCUCAGGGAAGAUGAAUACUGAAAAUCACAUUUACCGAUGUGGGGGUCUUUAUGAUCUUGUGCAUAGUUCACACUUGAUAUGUUUAUAUCUUAGAUUGGUAUGGGGUCAUGGAUUCCCUGACCUUCUUUGGAUUUCCUGGUUCUUGCGGUUACACGCAUUGGGGCCCUUCCAAUGGGAGGAGCCGGACCUGUUAGCCUGUGGGUGCCUUUAGGUUGGUUGGAGAUACACACUCCAGGAUAAUGUGUUAAAUCUCAUGUUAAGUCCUAUUUCCUAUCUCAACAUUUUAUAUAUCUGUAUAUAUGCAUGUAUGUGAACAUGUACAUUGAGUAUGGACUUGAUUUUUAAAUAACAUUACUUUAUUCCUAUCUCGAGUUACAUGCUAGCGAUCUCCUUGCUAACCAUCCUAGGACGCUACAUUGUUUUAUAAUGUAGGGUCCGAGGAUACCUCUUUUGCCCAUGUGUAGCUUUUGGUGACCGGGUUCGUCAGUUGGUUCGCGGUGAAGUGGUAAACUUCCAUCCUCCAAAAAACUUAGCCAUUCCAUCGAUUUAUUUCCAUAUUAUAGAAUUAAAGAGUUCACAUUAGCAUUAUCAUUAUAAUUGUCACCAUCAUGGUUGGGGGCAUGUCCCGAUCUAGUUUUAUAUUCAGAUUGUUUUAGAGGCUUUUGUGAAAACCUAUGGAUUGGGAUAUUUGUUUGGAAUCGUAGAAUCUUCGUCUUGGUGUAUUUAUCUUUUAUAUGUUCGUUUGGAUUGCUUUCACUAUUAUACUAUAUUGUGUUCUGAUUGGCUAGGCUUAGUGGGUGGCUUUCUGUCCUCGAUGGACUUGAGAUACCCGUCACAACUAGGCCCUGAUUCAGGUCGUGAUAGUAAGGGUUGUUAAAAUUCAAUUGAUUUUUCAUAGAGUUCAAAUGCUUUACAGACAUCACAAAUUCUUUUUAAUUGCCUUGAUAGAACCUUUCUAAGACAUAAGGAAAUUCAAAGAUACAAAAGAAGGUUGGGGAUGCAGUAUGUGAAUUAUAAUCAAAAUGGUCAGAUAUAGUUUUUUGUGCAAGAGCAUAUUCAAGUGGGAGUGAUUGUCAAUUUUGAGCAACAACUUUCAUUACACCUCACAGUGGAAUAUGAUAAGUAGACGAUGACUACAGUGGUAUAUGCCAAAUAUUAUACUUUAGAGAGUCUAGUCUAUGCGAUGAUUUGUAUGCCAUUGGGUACAAUCUUUCCUUUCCUUGGUUAUAGGGGCAGAGUUGAAUGUCAUUUUAUAUGAUGAAGAAAAAUUGGUGGGCUACCCGUAUAUCCUUAUGCAUUUGAGGACUUUAGCUUAUGUAUAAAUUGUGAGUUUUUUGAGAUUAGUGUCACCGGGAACCCUUUCACCUGGAUGAAUGGUAGAGCUGAUGAAGAAUAUAUUUUCAAAACGCUCGACAGAAUCAUGAAUUAGGCUGUAUAGGACAUAUUUGGGAAUAUAAAAUGUAAUAUUUGACUAUAACUGAGUCUGAUCAUGCCCCUUUAAUGCUCAAGGAGAAAUUCAGUAAUUCUCAAAACCUCUUAGGUUUUUAAAGUUCUGAAUAGAAAAAGAUGAUUUUAAAAAGUGGUUAGGCAUAUUCGGAGGGCAGAUGAAUAUGGGGAUUGCUUCAAAAGAUUGAAAUACAAGCAGAAGAGAGCUAAAUAUGCACUGUCUAAGUGGAGUAGAGACAUCUUUGGGGAUCUAUUUAAACAACUAAGCAUCAGGGAAGAGAUUGUGAAGUUAAAGGAGGGCCUAUUUGAUGACAACCAAGUGCAACGAAUAUGGCUAUUUUAUAGCAUAUACAAGUUGAACAAAAGUAAUAUCUCCACUGUAAGGAGGAAUUUUUCAUACAAAAGGCUAGUAUCCAGUGGUUCACUAAAAGGGGAUAAAAAUAUAAAUUUUUUCCAUUGUCUGGUGAAAGAAGAAGAAAGAAAUUACAAUUGAAGAGAAGUUUAAAGCAUGAUGGUACUUGGGUUGAAGGAGAUGAGCAGAUUGCUAAUGAAGCAAUGAACUUUUUCCAAAACCGAUUCUCAGGAGAGCUCUUUACUGACGAACAUUGUUAUAACAUAUCCCAUCAUUAAUUAUUAAAAAAGAUAACAUUAUGCUCAUGUAACGCCCUAAAAAUGAGUCCCGAGACAUCACACGGUGCUCAAGACUAUGAGUAGCCUUAAACUAACCUUGUCUACCUUCUAUUAAGUUUGAAUCUCAUAAUAAGUAAUAUAGAUAUCAAAAUCAUACUGAAAGCAGAAACUAUCUGAAUGUAAUAUCCGAAAAUAAUGUCUGGAACCUUAAUACUGAAUAAUCUGAAUUAAAACUAUCAAGACUACGAGUAGCCUUAAGCUAACCUUGUCUGCCUUCUACUAAGUUUGAAUCUCAUAAUAAGGUAAUAUAGAUAUCAAAAUCAUACUGAAAACAGAAACUAUUUGAAUGUAAUAUCCGAAAAUAAUGUCUGAAACCUUAAUACUGAAUAAUCUGAAUUAAAACUAGUAGUCUGAUAAUCCUCUACUACUAAUAAUAAAUCGAGGGGCAGAGUAGAAUAACUUUAACAUACAAAUUUGAUGCCUCAAGUUACACAGUUAGAUUCGCUGAACAGAUUCGUAAUUUCUCCUCCAAAGGCUAGAUAGACGGAAAGAAUGAUCCUCAUUUAGAUGACUAUUAGAGAUAUUGUCUUGUUGCUGGAAAAAAGGCCCUCAAUGAUGGAAAACAAAAUUUGGGUCAGGUUAUGGGUUGGUCCAAAUUGGUGGGUCGGGUUAUGGGUUGGUCCAAAUUGGUGGGUCGGGUUAUGGGUUGUAACGGAGGGUAUAUUUGGACCUUUUUGCAAGGUUAAGGGGUAUAUUUGCUCUUAAACUUUAAGAGCGAGAGCAUAUUUGGGCCAAACUUGUAACAGAGGGUAUAUUUGGACCUUUUCGCAAAGUUUAGGAGUAUAUUUGCUCCUAAACUUUAACAGCAAGGGCAUAUUUAGACCAAACUUGUAACGGAGGGUAUAUUUGGACCUUUUUGCAAAGUUAAGAGGUAUAUUUGACCCUUUACCCUUUGUAAAAUAAUGCAUGCCAAAUGUAAAUGACUCACAUAAGCUGGAAUAUCUGAAAUACUGAAAUCUAUAAUCAUGAAUAACAAAUAAUUAGUGAGUCAUAACAUUUAGUUCUAAAAGUCGUACUAGUAUUAUGUCUGUAAAUCAUGCUGCCUAAGUGUAGAAAGGACUCACUUCUGUAUCUGAAAUCUGAAAGCUGAAAUCUAUAGCUAAUAUCUUUUGGUAAAGCAUAAUCUGAAUAAAGUUGUGAGCCUUUACACGUAGUUUUCUAAAAGUUUUUUUAUUACUAGUAGGAAGAAUACUUUAUCUAAAGGGAGGUUCUUCUAACCGACAUAAACCAUGUGAGCUAACAUGGAGUCCAACGUCUUGCUCCCCUAUGGGGAAAACCUCACGAUAGGGAGAGGUGUCAACUCUUGCCAAGGAGUAUAACCUAAUCUAAGUGAUCAUAUAUGUGUCUGUCAUCCAUAUAGAAAUGGGAAUAAUCUGAAUCUGUACCUACGUUGGCUACGUAGUUCUGUGGAAAAUAGGGCACGCUAAUCCCACACUUCUAGCUCAGUGCUAAAUACUACUCCCUUUUAAUCUGUAUGCACAUUCUGUUGGAAAUCCACUUUAAAAGCUAGCAUAAGGGUUAUUACAGAACCAAUUAUGCAUUUAUCUGAUUCAACCUGUGAGUAAAACUAUUCUGAUUUUUGAAAUUUGUAAUAAAUCUGUAAAGUGGAUUCCAAAUCUUAUCUGAGGAUCAAAAGAUCAAGGCUUUUUGAAAAUCUGAAAAUAAACUGAUCAUCUAAUGCUUAAAGCGUGAUCUUUCUUGAAAUAAUAAUAUUCAAUCUAGGGAUGAUAACCUAUGCAUCAAUCUCAUGUCAAAACAUCAUAAUAAUCAUGCUUGGUAAUGAAAACAAUGAUAGUUCAUCUCAAAAUCUGGAAAUUACUGCAAUAGGCAUGAAAAUAUGAAAAUAGUCAUGCAAUUCAACUUCUAAAAAACUUGAAAUCUCUUAAUCUUGCAAUUAGCAAUCCUAAUUCAAAAAACUCAUGUAUAAUCAUUCAAAAUCAUAUAAAUUUAAAAUAAAAGCUUGGUUUUGGGAACAAGGAUAAAAGAGGAUCCUUGUUUAUAAACCCUACAUACCUUAAUUGAUGAAAUUUCUAAGAAAGCUUGAACUUGAAUCUCUAUUUGAGCCUUUGAAGAUGAACUCUUGGUUCUCUUGAUUUGAGAAUCCUCAAUUUUGAGUUUUCUUGGAGAAACAAUGGAGGAAAUUGAUUUCUUGGAGAGUAAGGUUUUGAACUUUAGGGUUUUCCUUUGAGAGAGAAUGGAUGAAAAUAAACAUAAAGUGCUUAGAAUAGACUUAAUUCCUUGUUUUGGACGAAUUGGGGCUUGGGAUUUGACCAAAGUACCCCUCUUAAAAUUUAAUCGGAACUGGAAAAAAGAUAAAUUUUCCGAAUUUGCAUGCCACUGCAACGCUCCACUAUCGCGGUGGAUCAUUGGAAUUUGACAACUGAAAACUGGACAUUCUACGCGACGCGGAGCUAUCGCGGUGCACUACUGAAAUGCCAUUUUGGCCAUCACCGUGACGUGCCACUAUCGCAGUGAGCCACUGGAAAUUGACAAUUGGGAAAUAAGGCUUCACCACGACACGGGCUUAUCGCAGAGGUCCACUUAAACCAAACAAUUGCCAUUUUGCAAGUAACCGCGGCGUGAUGCUUCUCCAGUUGGGAUACUACUUUACUAAAAAUGCCAUAACUUCUCAACCGAGUAUCGGAUUUGGGAGAAAUUGGUAUUGAUGGAAAGCUUAUUCAAUUAUAUACACAAUGGUUUCACAUGUAACAAAAAUUAUUCAUUUUUAAAGCUAGCCUUUGACAUUCUAGGUGUUAAAUUGAGAUGGAAAAGUACGGGGUAUUACAGCCCAACGGAUUACCUACAAAUGUAAAGAUCAGAAGGACAAUAUUUGAGUUAAAUGGUGAUAGUGCAUGUGGUCUUGAUGGUUUCAUUGGUUGAUUCUAUCAGAAUUGUUGGGAUAUUGGUGGGGGAGAUAUUAGUGACAUUGUUCAUGCUUUCAUAAAAGGCUCCACUUUACCUAAAUCAAUUUCUCACACUAAUUUGGCGUUACUGCCUUAGAAAGAUGUCAUUCAUAUAUUUUCAAACCUAAGACCAAUUAGCUUUAAGUAAAUUUUGGAAUAAAGUAAUCUCCAGUCUUUCGUAUGAUAGGAUGGACCUUUUCUUCUAGGCUGAUUUCACAUUUCGCAGAACCAAUCAAACUUUGUGAAUGGAAGGAGCAUCACUAAAAAUAUUUUAUUAGCUCAAGAGAUUAUUUCUAAUAUUAGAAAAAAAGGAAACCAACAAAUAUAGUCAUUAGGCUUGACAUGGUAAAGACUUAUGACAAAGUUGAAUGGAAAUUUUUGAUUAAAGUCUUGGAAAAAAUAGGUUUAAUAAAAUAAUUAUGGAUAAGAUUUGGAGAAUUGUGGCUGAUAAUUGGUAUUCUAUUCUAAUUGUUGGACAAGCUCGUAAUUUUUUCCAUUCCACCGAAGGUGUCAAAUAAGGGGAUCCUUUAUCCCCUUUAUUAUUUAUUUUGUCUGUUGACGUGUUAUCUAAAACCACGAAUCAACUAUUUUAUAGUAGAGAAUUCAAGGGUAUUGGAAUACAUAAAUGGAGUGAAAGUUUAAAUCACAUGACCUAUGUUGAUGACAUGAGAAAGUCAUUACAAUUAAAUUUGAAGGUUUUGGAUCAAUAUUAAAUGUAGUCAAGUCAGAAAAUCAACUAAGAAAAACAUUUUUUCUUUAUGUAUAGGUAGGCUGCAACUAAUGUUGUCCAAGAAGUGGAGGUUGUAACUAGUUUUAUAGGGGUAAAUUCCCAAUGAUGUAUUUGGGGUUUCCUAUUGGUCAUGCAAGAAGCAAGACUUUGUUGAACUUAUCAAGAAGAUGCAGAAUAACUGAAUGUAUGGAAAGGUAAGUUACUAUCAUUUGGUGGAAAAUCUGUCCUAAUAAACCAUGUUUCUUCGAGAGUAUCCCUAUCGAGUUAUUGUCUGCUAUCAUUUAUCCUAAAUGUGUAUUGAAGAUUCCAUAGAAUCUUUUCUAAGUUUUUAUGGAAUUUUAUGAAAGAAGAAAAGGCAAAGAACCGAGUGUCAUAGCAGAAUAUCUAUCUUCCCUAAAUUAAAGGUGGUUUAGGUUUUAGAUAUCUUUAUGAUGUGUCAGAGGCUUUAUUUGCUAAAUUGUGGAGGAUUUUUAGGACUAAGUCCUUAUGGGCCAAUUUUAUAAGGAACAAAUAUUGGAAAAGGCUUCUCAAAUAUGGAAACAUAUGCUAUAUAAUGACCCUUAGGUUAUUUUCUGUAUUUCCAUACUAUUGCAAUGUCUAGAGGUUUUCCAUAGUUUCCUCAAGUUAUUUAUGACUUGCUGGAGAUGACAAUUUAGUUACUGGAGAGUUCGUUAAGUUUUUAGAGUCAAUUCCCUAUUUUGAAGUUCUCACUGUUGAGAAUUGGUUAUCGGGCUUAAACUUUAGGUUAACAUCGUCAUAUACCAAUUCUAAUAGUUUUGCUAGAUCUAAAAUGUUGAUUUUAGGCUUGGGGGACCUUUGGUUUGGGUCCUAAGGAUUUCAAACUCGUGUUAGGCUAUUGGGUGGAUUUUGGUUAAAAUAGUCAUUGAGUGUGCGAUCCACAUUUUAUUGAAAUGAACUCAGCUGGAAAUUUUGAUGGCACAGUUGAGAGAAUAUUGAUUUUGGUAGGGUAGCAUAGCUCAUUUGCAUUCACAUAAUUCUGAAUGAAUCCUGAAGGUCCACUCAGAAACUUGACAAAUACCAAGUGUAGUUGGUGCAGCAUCAGCUGGUGCAGCGCAAAAAUAGCCUUCACAUUCAUGAUGGCCAUGGAAAAUUGGCUACCACAAUCAUGAUGACCUUGGCCGCAUCUGCGAAGGCCAAGUUUACUAGCCAUCGCAUUUGCGAGCUUGCCUUCGCAUUCACAAAGAGUAUUCUCUGGGUCGAACUAGGCAUUCUUUCUUGAGAUCGAGGUGGACCGGCCGUGUUCGUGAAGGGUAAGUUGGAUUGAGCCCUGCAUUUGCAGAGGGGUCCUCACCUUCACGAUGAAGGGACCCCAAGCAGUAUAUAUGCUGCCAAACCCAAUUUUUCUCCCAUUUUCAAGUCUCAACUUCCAUUAAUAUCCCUAGAGAGCUAAGAGAGUGAGAGGAUCGAUACAUGGGUGUUUAGGGUGAGUUAGAGAGUUUGGGGGAUGUUUUUCCAUCAAGAAUUAUUGUAAAUUUUCUUAUAUUUCUUAUUUAAGUCUCUACUUUAAUCUCGAAAUCCCUAACACUUUGUGGGCUGAUUUGAGGGAGCAAUUUUGCUCGUAUUCAUCAUUUUUUUAGGAUAAAUGAUCCUUGAGCCUAGAAGAGCGUUUUGGCGGUUUCAAAGUUGUGAUCUUGCAACUAGCCCCACAUGGGAUUUUUAGCUCAAUUUCGGAACCAAAGAAUUUAUAUGCAAUAUGGGUAUUUUUAUUCUUGUAUUAAUGUGUAUAUCAUUAUUUUGAUAGUGUAGCAUCGUACAAAGGCUUCCUGGAAGGUAAAAUCUCUAAUUUAGUGGAUUUUCUUGGGCAUUCUUCGAUGUACAGGUAGGUUAGGCUUACUUUUCUCAUAUAUUGAGCUAUAUUAUUGUACUGGUGUGGUCUUAUGCUAGAUUUGGGUUGGAAAUUAUGACUUGAUUGUAUGUUUAGCGAAAUUUGGAAUAUUUAGCCGAUUAGUGAAUCGUGUUUAGGUAGAAUUGACCUGUUCAUCCUUUCCUUGGAUUAAACUAAGACAUUAGGACAUAUUGGACUUAUUUUACUCCUUGUAGUAGGUCUUGGAAGCCUUAGUCUAGUUUUUGGUAGAAAUUGUCUUAGUAUGAAUUUUUGGGUUUUAGUAGCGGGCUCCGUCGACCCUCUUUAAGGUCAAACAUCUGAAGUAGCUCCCGAUAGAUCUAGGAGGCCUUCUCUCAUUAUUAUAUAAAUAUUCUUGGACCCUAAGAUGAUUUAGUCAAUUUUCAAUUAUCGACUAGAUUUAGUAACCUGUAUUUACUUUAAAGACUGGUUCGAGCCCAACACUUACUAUUCAUUUAUGAUGCUUAAAGACCAAUUUGAGUUUGACAUAUAUUAAUCACUUAUUAUAUAAAAGUUUGGUUUGAGUUUGACAAUUAUGGUUCACUUAUGAUGACUAGGGAUCCGGUUCGAGUCCAAUGUUUGUUGUAUGAAAGGAUUAACAGAUAUGGUUUUGGUGGCCAAUUACUUUAUAAUUACUAUUGUUUUUAUUUUUCCCUUAAUUACGUCCAUUGAGCUUAUGGAGACUCGUUUGGAUUAUCCUUCUCUUGUUUGCGCCUUCUAGGCUUAUGGGGGUCAAGUUAGGCUAUAGUUGACUUGUAUUCUUUUGAUAUUAUCUAUUGUAUUAUUUAUUAUCUAUCAGCUGGAGUGUUGUUUCAGGUUUUCCCUUUUUAUCCCUGACUUUAUUUUACAUUCACGCAUUUUAUUAUGCUUUUAUUAUGAUUUAGCUUAGUUGACUGAUAUGCCUACUGGGUACCCAUUGGUUUUGUACUCCUACUAUGCUUCUGCAUCUUUUUCUAAUACAGAUCCAAGUACUAGCUAUCACCACUGACAUUCUAUCCAGCACAAUCUAGAGUUCGAUGAUAGGGUGAGCUUUUGGAGUCGGAGUUGAUUCUCUCUCCUUAUGUUAGUUUUGGAAAAUCUUUUUGACACUAUUUGUAUAUUGACAUUAUUCAUUCUCUUAUUCUUUUGAUUAGUGACUCUUACCGACCUUACUAGGUCGUGAGAUACUUUUUUGCUCUUUCUCUCUCUUAUUUAUAUAUAUGCCAUCCUUUUAAUAUUAUAUCGCCUACAAUCUAUUUGUAUGCUUAAUUCUCAAUAGUCAUCAUACCUUCCACCAAAUAGCCUAUUAUUUGUCAUUCUGAGUUGUGAUUUGGCUUACCUACUGGUUGGUUAAUGUAAUACCCCAAACUUUUUCAAGCUUAAAUUCAUUCAUAGAAUGUUAUGGGAUAUCUUCCAAAAUGAUUAAUAUUUGUUUCGCAUAGAAUUUUCUAGAUUUCAACUUUUCAUCAUGUGGGAAAUUAAAUAAGCUUUCCAUCGAUAUCAAAUUUGCCCAAAUCCGACACUCGGUGAAGAAGUUAGAGCACUUUUAAGUUGACAGCGUGCCAACUAGGCAGUCACCGCGUCGCGGUGAAGGACAAUUUCAUAAUCUUCACUUACCAGUGGACCACCGCGAUGUUGGCACGUCGCGGCGAGGUCCAAAUUCCCAUUUGUUAAUUUCCAGUGGACCUCUGUGAUAUUGGUGCGUCGCGGAGAGGUCCAUUUUUCCAAUUGUAGAAUUCCGUAGCCUAACGCGAUAGGGGCGUAUCGCACCGAAGGCCAAAAUGGCAUUUCUAUAGGGCACCGCAAUGGUGGCGCAUCGCGUUGAAGUUUCAGGUCCCAAUUGUCAAAACCUAGUGGGACAGCGCAAUAGCUCCGCAUCGCGGUGGACCCCAAUUUCCCAUUCGUCAGUUUUCAGUGAGCCAGCGCGAUAGUGGCACAUCGCGGUGGCCUAUUAAAUCGGGACCCAGUUACGUUUUUUUUUUCAGUUUCGUUUAGAAGUGAAAAAGGGCAUUUUGGACUUUUUCCCAGCACCCAAUUCCAUCUAAACACAAGAUUUAGGGCUAUUACAAACAUCUUAUGGUAUAUUUCUCAAGAUUUCUCUCAACUAAAAACCCUAAGCUUCAACAAUCAACCUCAAGAAUCUCAAGAUUCCACCAUCCUUUUUCCAAAUUAAUUCAAGAUUCCCAACACAAGAAUUCCAAGAACCAUAAUUCAAGAGUACAAAUAGAGUCUCAAAAGCAAGGUUGUUCAUCUAGUUCAACAUCCAAGGUAUGUGGGGUUUGAACAAGGACAAGUCUUUCGUUCUUGUGCCCAAAAAACUUGAAUUUUAUUAAAGAUUACAUGAUUUACAAGUUGGGGUUUAUACCCAAAGCAUCUUGUUUUAAGUUUAUGAAGAUAUAAGUGAUUUAAGCCUUGAAUUGCAUAUUUAUCCCACCUAUUUAUGCUUUGAAUUGAGGAUUUAUAUCAUGAAUUGCACAUUCCCAUUGUGAAUUGAUAUUUUCAAGUGUUUCCAAGAUAAUUGUUGAGAAUUAAGCUUCAUUAUGAAAUUGUGAUCAUUUAAGUACAUAUGCUUUAAACCCAAGUAAGAAUUUUGAUAUUUCAUGAAGAGUAUAUUGUUAGCAUGCUUUAACAAGCAAGCAUUCAGAUUUUAAAGAAAGAUUGAUCUUCCGAACCUAAGCUAAGAUAGGAAUCCACAUUAUUUAUGAUUUAAAGCAAAGAGAACUAUAAUUGGUUUUCAUUAUAAACCCUUGUGCUGUUUUAAGGUGAAUUUCCUAAAAGUUCUGAGCAAUAAGUAUGGGAGUAGUAUUUAGCACUGAGUUGGGUAUGAUUCCAAGGUCUCAUUCCCCAAAACUACGAGCCACGUUGGUUCUAAACGCCCAUAGUAGGCUAAGAUAGUGAUCACUAAAGUUAAGGUUCUAUUCCGAUGGCAAGGGUAGAACAGCUCUCUCCAAUGUGGGCAAGACGUUAGACUCCAUGUCAGCUCACAUGGUUUAUGUCGGUUAGAAGAAACUCCCUGAGUCCCAAAGUCCCUAAGUCCCAAAGUUCCAAGAUUUCCAAAGCUCCCAAAGCUUAUGAGUUUCAAAAGAAAAGAAUGAUAGAAAAACUUUUAUAAGACUAAGUGUUAUGACUCACUAGAUUCACAAGUAUGAUUUGUUAUACAUGAUUUUAUAUUUUGAUAUUUUAGAUAAUCAAGCUUAUGUGAGUCAUAUACAUCCACAUGCAUUUACUUUCUAAUUAUGAUGAUGUUUACUUAUGCAUUACACCCUAUAUACUCAGUACAUCCUUAAAGUGCUGAUCCACAUAUAUGUCUAUGAGCUACAUUGUCUUAUAAUGUAGGUUCAGGUGCUCAGUAUCAUCAACGUGAGUAGUUCAAGCAUCUCUAUCUACGCUCCCACAGUUGGUGAGUCCUCAUGAUUUGAGGGCCUACUUUUUCAGAUUUCCAGCUUUCAUAGUAAUUGAGUUAUCAUUUUAAGUUUAGACCGACUCAGUUGGGGGUCUGUCCCAAUGGCUCUCUAGUUCUUUAGUAGUAAAGGCUCGUCGGACUACGAGUUUAAUUACAGACUUUUAGUAUUUGUUAUUCAGACAGUACGUACGUUUAUUCAGUUCAGUUUUUGGUAUAAUAUAAUAUUAUUUCUUGAUUAGAUUAUCUUAAAGUAAGGUUCAGAUCUAGUAGCAGGCUCAAAGGGUUAGCUUGGGACUAUUCAUAGCCUUGAGCACCGUGGGACGUCUUGGGAUUAGAUUUUGGGGCGUUACAGUUAAAGAGGUGCCAUUAUGACCUGACAAACUAGGUCCUGACAUGCUAUCAGCUAGAGACAGUGUUGAUCAGGAGAUUUAGUGAAAACCUAGAUGUGGUCAUUCUAGCAUUUGGUUUGACAAUUGGACGCAAUUAGGAGAUCUUCCGUAUUACUUCCCUAUUAAUCACAACAUUGAUGAGAACUUUGAUGAUAUGAGUUAACUACUAAAUCAAGAAAGUUGGAAUGAAGAAUUAAUGAUGGAUAUUCUUAAUGAAGAUGUUUGUAAUCAGGCGAGACAAGUGAUUAGGGUAAUUCAUAAUAGGGAUGACUGGGAUAAGGCAUGGUGGAUGCUAAGCAGUAUAGGAAAGUUUUCUGUUAAAUAUACGUGGGAGUUACUUAGACAGAGAAGACCACCUCUAGAUUUGAUCACCUCUAGAGUUGACCAUGAUUUUUUGGGAAUCAGGAAUCCCUUUCAUAGUCUCUUUCCUUACUUGAAGUCUUUGGAAGAAAAGGAUUCCUAUUGGAGAGGUUUUAGUGAAAAUAAAAGUGGUUAAAGAUAUGGUUUGUUGUUAAUACAACAAUAGUGAGCAUGAAACUUUUGACCACUUGUUCAUGAAGUGUCUAGAUUCAAACUACUCAUGGAGUAUAUUUGCAGGACCUGUAGGAGUACCUAGUCCUUUUGUGAUGUGGUGGAGUGCAGACACUAGUGCAAAACUGAAGCCUUUGUACUAGGUUGUUCCCAUUUUUAUUGUCUGACAGGUAUGAAAAAGAAGGAAUAGGAUUAGAAAUGGAGGAAGAAUGUAAACGACUAGCUUUUUGAUGAAAUAUGUGAAUUGUGUGUUUUUGUGUAAUUUGAUUGUUUCACCCCUCCCCAUAACUGUAUUAUGGUAUUUUUGGGAUGUAGGGGGUGAUUGGCAUGGUUCUCGAUGCAUUUUGGUACCAUUUAUGUAUAUUGUGGUUUUUGAUGACUUCCAAAGCUUUAUUUUAAACUUAUGUGGAUAUCUUUUGAUCUGUACGAUGGAUGGCUGAACGAACUACGCCAACAACUCCAGAAUAUUAAUUUUAGGCUAGGUAGACCUUUGGUUUGGGUCCUAGUGCAUUCAAGUUCAUUUCGACCUAUUGGUCAGAAAGUUGAAAAAUUGAAAAUAUGGGUGUGGGACCCACGUUUGGUCAAAACAACCUCAGAUAAAAAAUCUAACUUUUCCAGUAGAUUCAAAACGUCGAUUAUAGGGUGAUAACAUAUUUGAUGUGAUUUUACGGCUUUUCAAUCUCAUUUUGACCCUCGAUUUGGAAAAUUAUAAUUUCGGAUUUCGGUUGUCAACUAUGUGAAAAUGAUAUUUUUUUGAAAAUCUGAAAUCACCAUUGAAUUUGGAGAGUCAAAUUUAGUGUGGUUACAUAGUUUGUUUAUUUAUAUUAGACUCCGAACGAAUUCUGAGCACCCCAUCGAAGUUUGUCCGGACUUAUAAAAAAAUUGGUGUAGAUUUUUCUGCAUUAUUAAUAGCAGUUUUCAAGCCCAUUUUGUUCAUUUUUCAUCUGGCCUCUUGAGAGUUAAACCCUAAAAAUAGUGUGGGAGCUUAAAAGUGAAGCUUGUGGAAGCUUGGGAAGCAAGAUUAACAUCUAUUUCUUGAUUCUAUUACGGAUUUAAGGUAAGAAUUCAACAUAUUCUUAGUCAUUUCUUGAUUAAUUUCUCAACACCUCAAAAAUCUUAGGGCUUGAUUUUAAACCUCAAUUUCACUCCUUUUUCACUUGAAUAAUAUUUUAAUCUUAUAAUUAUGAGUGUUUCAUCAAUUUAACAUUCAAAACAAUUCCAAUUCUUAGUUUUCACCCGAAUUUCAAAGAUUUUAUCUAGUACAACUUAAAAAUAGUUUUUCUUUGAUUUUAACCUUAUUUUUGACUCGAUUUGACUUGAAUUUUCAUAUGUAGGAUCCUACAAAUAUGGGAAACACGUUUUUGAAGUAAAGUUAUGAUUUUGCUCUUCUUUUUCAAAAAUCCAUUUCGGGGAGUUUGUUUUGACCCCGAACCAAAAAAAUUACUCAAUAUGGGUGUCGUUGAUUUUGUUUUGAUGCGUAGAUUCCAUAUUUGAUGUUUUUAGUGAAGCUCGGUACCAUUUGUGAGGAGUAAAACUUUGGGAGCAAAGUCUUGAUUCCGAUAUUUUAGUUUUUGAGGUAGGUUAUGACUUAACUCUUUCAGACUGGGCUAGUAGUAAAUGAUGGUAGAAAAUACAUGUUGAGGCUGAGAACUAAUCAUGAAAAAUGGGUAUCUAUGUGUGUUUCCAUGUGGGGGCCUAUAUGUAAUGUAAUUGUUGAAAUUAAGAUAUUAUGUGAUAGUGUGAUCGUGUGCGAUCCUAUGUGAUGUAGAUAGCCUUAAAUAUAUAUGAAUAAUUGUAUUGUGUUGUUGAAAUGUCUAAUGUGAUGUCAUUGGUGUAUUGAGAUAUAUUCAUACUUGUUAUAUGAGACGUGUAAAUUCAUGGAUGAAACAAAAAUAAUAAGUGAAUUAUUGGCUCAUGUGGUUGUGGAAAUGUAUAAUUAUGGUUGGUUGUGGAAAUAUAUUAUUGUGGCUGGUUAUGAAAAUACUCAUUGUGAUUGGUUGUGGUCAUUACAUCUUCAUAUCAUACUCAUUCAUGAAACAUUGGUACCACCAUGGCAACAUCUGAAAAACACUGACAAUACCUUUAAUAAAACCCUCCCCAAGGGAAGUGCUGGGAGGAGAUAUUGCAACACCUUAUAAAACUCUUUCCGAGAGACAUGUCAAAAAGUUCAUAUGAGAUAUGUGGAUUGUAUACGGAUUGACGAACUCCCCAUGGGUCCUAUCCUACAUCGAGAAGCUUUAGUUCCGUAGGUGUAUACAGGGAUUGUGCGACGAUCCCGGAGGUUGUGCAACGACCUCGUGCAUCAUCAUCAUUAUCAUAUACAUUGUACUUACUUUAUUAUGUUUAUGUUGUUUUGUAUUGCCAUAUUGACUUGUCAUCUAUGUAUUUCUCUUACCUUCCUUUACUUAUAUUUGAUGAUCUUGUAUCCACAUGUUCUCCUUUGUUCUACUUAUAUGUGGCAUAAUGCAUUCUUGUGUUCUAUCUUGGUGUGUUAUUGUAAUAUAGGUGAUAUAUUAGAACUGUUAGUGUAACCGGUGUAAGCUAUCGUUGUGAGAUAUUUUCUGAUUACAGAUGACAUACCCUUAGUGUGUAUUUUGUAUGCUUCAUUUUUUCUACUUUGCUUGGUUGGUCUAUGAUACCUACUUAGUAUAAGUGGACCGUACUCACUCCUACUUCAUCCUUUUGGUGCACCUUUAGGUUCGAGUGCGCCUUAGACUAGUUAAUUUUUGGGCACCUUCAGAUUACUCAAGGUAGCGGUUGGACAUUCAUACGUCCGUAGUUCACCUCUAUCUUUCUAUAUUAGUUAUGUCUUUAUUAGUAUUUGGAGACAGAUAUUAUUCCUUUGUGGUUAUUUUUCUGAUGUAUUUGACUCCUGGAUAGUAUUAGUAGUUCUUACACCAUUGACAACAGGUUUUGGGAGUUAUGGCUGCAUGUGUUGAUUUUAUUUUUUCCACUUGUAUUAUAUCUAUAUGGUUCAGCUUUAUUCUAGAAGCCUUAUCUUGGGGGGCAUUUCUAUUUUUUUUUGUGUGUAUCAGUUUGGGUGAGACUUACUUGUCAAGGUUCGCCGCGACAAGUGCCAUCAUGACCCUUAUUUUUGGGUCGUGACAAGGAAUGUUAAAACAUGACAUGGUUAUGGAGAUUAACAGGAAUCUGUAUAUGUUUCCAAAAUUAGAUUCCCUUGGCUUAAGGAAAUCCCUGAUUCAUGGCCAAUGAUAGUUAAAAUGUUUGAAGAGUACACCCUCAUUGUUUCUUGCAAAAUUGUCUGACGGAAACAUCCGUAAAGGGAUUACAAAUGUAAUUUAGAUGGGGCAUAAAUAGAAUUCUGGGCCUUAUGCUAGUGGCUUUUGCAUAAAAAAUAAAGAUGAAGACUUUAUUUAUGCUGCAUCAAACACAGUUAAAGAGGGGUCUGGACUAGAAGCUGAGGUGAAAGCUAUGAGAUUAGCCCGGGAGUUUUGUAUAGGCAAAAAUCUGUUACCUCUGACCAUGGAAAUAUAUUCCCUCAUAAUCAAUAAGAUUCUUGAUGGUAUAUGAGAGAUGCCCUGGACAAUUACCAUAGAGAUAAUAAGGAUAAAACAAUUGAUGGAGAAUAAUUUGGAGGAUGUGGAGCAUACAUUUCGAGAAGGCAAUAAAUUGACCGAUUUUUUCACUAACAUUAUUUUUAGUUUUGCAGGUACAAAUAACAUACAAUUUAGCUCAAUACAGGAGGUUCUGGAAUAAGAAAGGAAAAUCAUAAAUUUAGAGAAAAACAAAACUACAUAUUUAAGGAUAAGGAAACGUCACAACAGGUGUUUCAAUCAACCACAGGGACAAACACAAUCACACAAGCAGAUUGAUUUAAACAUACAAAUAACCAGCUGAAGUGGGCUAUAAUAAAAAUGAACUGAGAAAGUAGGAAGAAAGGACUUGCCCUUUAGCUCUGAGCCUUUUGCAGAGGUAUUAGCUUCAAGGAGAUCAUUUUGCAAAGGGUAAGGAAAUGAAAAAAAAAUCAAUCAAAAAAGCAUUUCAUACCAAAUUAUGGGAAUUGGAAUUUGACUUUACCUCAUCGUGAAGAGCUGGAAUACUGGUAAUGAGCUGAAGAAGUCUUCAACGAGUUGAAUUCAUGGCGCCUGUGAGAAUUUGUUGGGUGUUUAAGUUAACAUCAGUCAAUCACACUGAUGAUAUAAACCGUCUUCUACGAGAUGAUAAGAUCAAUGAGAUCUAUGGGUGCAGCAGUUCGCAAGUCACCGACAAUGGUUGGCCGAUCAACCAGGGAUUUAGUACUUUGGAGCUUUUACAGAUUUCCUAAUUUGGUUGUAAAUAUUAGCUUAGACUUGUUUUGUCUGUUUUUUGUUAUUUCGGGUAUGGGCUUUGGUCUCUUUUGGGACAUUGCCCAUUACCAUUUGAACCUUUGUUUUCUGAUUUUCUAAUAAAUGGCAUGGCCCGUAUUUACUUUAAACUACCCUCCUUCAUCAUAAAAAAUAUUUCACUUUAUUCAAGAAUUGUGGUUUGGUUAUAAAAU
rnacentral:lncRNA from 1 species